AUAUAUAUAUAUAUAUCAGUGAGGCUAUCCUUUUUUAAAAUUUUUCAUGAAUCUCUUUGAAAAUUUAUUUUAUUUUCUCUAAAGGCCCAUUUUGAAUUAAAGAGAUGAUGCAAGGUCAAUUAAACCACUUGCUUUAGCACGGUAAACUCAAAGAUGAUGCAAAAGAAAUAUAUUUAAUUUUUUUUUUCUCUCCUAGUUAAAAUUUUACAUUUUUUUUUUACAUUACCUGAAAACAAAGACGAAGACAUGAAUGAAACAAGGAGUGGCAGGUUGCAACUUUGCUCUAUACAGAAUUUACAGAAAGCAUAAACUACAGUAGUCUACUCAGACUGAUCCUUUCUGAAGGCCGUGGAUGCAUCAUUUUGGAGUAACAGUCUUGGCUGCUGGAACUGUUUCCUCCAAUGUUUUCAACAAGCUUACGUCCCUCUUGGGUGCCUCAGCUUCCAUCUGAAAUCCUAUAAUACCCAAUACAAACAUUAAGUCCAUUUUCAUUGAGAGACACUAAUGCAUUGGACUAGUAGUCCGCAAAUUCUCAAUAUGCUAUCACCAUUACUCCAGUUAUGAGAUAGUCUUAAUACCAAAACUGCUUAUGAGAUAGCAUUUUGCAACAGUCUUAAGAUUUUUAUACAGUAGAUUGAACCAUACCAUUUUGUUGCAUCCCAUUGGAAGGAGAUGAUCUGUUUUCUACUUCAGUGUCGUAAGAUUCUACAAACUCCUGAAAAUGAACUUCCAAACUAAAGAAAUCUUCACCAGCAUCAAAAUCAAAUGCUUCUGGCAGUAAAUUAGUUACAUCAUUGCCAUCAAAACCAUCAUCCUCAGCAUUGUUAUAAAAGCUUUCCUCAUCCUGAUGUUGGCUGAGCCAGUAAUCCCUGUACCAUGUUGAAGUGGUAACCAGUUGCCACCAUUCUGGGGAGAAAUCCUCCACUUGACGAUAGGCAGCAGGGAUAAAGAGAGGGGCAUCAGGGUUUAAUGUUGACCUUCCUCCUGAAACUAGUGCCAUCUGUCUCAAUCGAGUCUUGUUUUAUCUUUUCAAUCUUGAAGCUUUAGCGAAGAAACUAUGCAGGCUCGUCUUGCUGUUAUUACACAAUGCUUGUUGGGACUAGCGCCCGUGCUAUACGCAGGUGAGAGGAGACCAGGCGCUUAUUUAUAGCGAUGAGAUUCGGGUCGGGGCCUAGGUGGUUGGGAUGUACGAGGCUGAGGUUCGGACAAGCCAAAGCAUCUCUUGAUUUUCUGGAAAUUGAACUGUACGGCUUGACGGGUCUUAUAGCCG
rnacentral:misc_RNA from 1 species